UACAGAGGGGGCAAGCGUUGUUCGGAAUUACUGGGCGUAAAGGGCGCGUAGGCGGCCUGCUAAGUCGAACGUGAAAUCCCCGGGCUCAACCCGGGAACUGCGUCCGAUACUGGUCGGCUUGAAUCCGGGAGAGGGAUGCGGAAUUCCAGGUGUAGCGGUGAAAUGCGUAGAUAUCUGGAGGAACACCGGUGGCGAAGGCGGCAUCCUGGACCGGCAUUGACGCUGAGGCGCGAAAGCCAGGGGAGCAAACGGG
rnacentral:rRNA from 1 species